UAAACAACACUUAAUACCAUAUAUGUCUAAGUUCUGGGAGCAGAGAGCCCCCACCUAAGAUGUCUCUGCUCUAAUCUUUUUGUUCUCUCUUACCUUGAAACUUAUUUGUUAUGUGUACAUGACGCUCAUCCCUAUGUCUUAUCUGUACUCUCUUCCUAUUAAUGUUCUAAGAGUAUUUGCACGUAAGCACUUACUUUUUAAUGUAUAAAACCCAG
rnacentral:lncRNA from 1 species